rnacentral:tRNA from 1 species
CCCGCGUAGCUCAGUGGUAGAGCAGUUGACUGUUAAUCAAUUGGUCGUAGGUUCGA